CUGGCACGGAAGUUGUUCGCCAGUCACACCCGGGUCGGACGCGCUGUCAGAAUAAAAGCCUUUCACUGACGUUCUGACGGCGUAAUUUGCUUCUGCUUUUGGCCACGCGAUGUGACCACCAUGGACCUACUUUUGGUGGAUAGGCCAAAAGAAACUCGACUUGAGAAUAAAAUCAACUUUCACUUCCGGUUGGAACUUCUAAAACAACCACGUGACUUACUGAGAAAGGACUGAAGCCCCGAGGCUGCCUGAAAGAGUCCCAGUGUCUGUGCUCCUCGCCGGCCACUACGGCUACAGAAACUCCGGAGCGUCUUCCUCGGCCAAUGGACCUUGACGGAGAACCGCCCCAAUUUCCUCUAUUCGAACCGGGGGAA